rnacentral:rRNA from 1 species
CAGCCACGGUAAUACAGAGGGUGCGAGCGUUAAUCGGAUUUACUGGGCGUAAAGCGUGCGUAGGCGGCUAAUUGAGUCGGAUGUGAAAUCCCCGAGCUUAACUUGGGAAUUGCAUUCAAUACUGGUUAGCUAGAGUGUGGGAGAGGAUGGUAGAAUUCCAGGUGUAGCGGUGAAAUGCGUAGAGAUCUGGAGGAAUACCGAUGGCGAAGGCAGCCAUCUGGCCUAACACUGACGCUGAGGUACGAAAGCAUGGGGAGCAAACAGGAUUAGAUACCCCAGUAGUCCCUGUCUCUUAUACACA